rnacentral:rRNA from 1 species
AAUGGAGGAAACUCUGAUGCAGCAACGCCGCGUGGAGGAUGACGCAUUUCGGUGUGUAAACUCCUUUUAUAAGGGAAGAUAAUGACGGUACCUUAUGAAUAAGCACCGGCUAACUCCGUGCCAGCAGCCGCGGUAAUACGGAGGGUGCAAGCGUUACUCGGAAUCACUGGGCGUAAAGGAUGCGUAGGCUGGAAAUCAAGUCGAGAGUGAAAUCCAACGGCUCAACCGUUGAACUGCUCUCGAAACUGGUUACCUAGAAUAUGGGAGAGGUAGAUGGAAUUGGUGGUGUAGGGGUAAAAUCCGUAGAUAUCACCAGGAAUACCGAUUGCGAAGGCGAUCUACUGGAACAUUAUUGACGCUGAGGCAUGAAAGCGUGGGGAGCAAA